rnacentral:piRNA from 1 species
UCUUGCCGUUAUUUGUGAGGAUGGAA